UUUUAUUCUGAACAUUGCUUGAGGACAAGCAACAAGCUAAGUUUGGGGUUGUGAUUAAUCACCAUUUAUGUUGUAUGUUAUGUCACUUAUUCGGCAAAAAUCCAAGUAAAAUGUAGAACUUUGUCUUAUUUAGUCGUCUUUUGAGUCAGUUUCUUUUAUCGUUGGUUGAUUUAAUCGUUUAAUCAUUUUUAAGUUUUAUUUCUAUUUUCCGCAUGUUAUGCUUUGGUUGUGUGUCUUUACUGUUUUUCAAGUUCAAACAGAUAUUCAAGAAC
rnacentral:lncRNA from 1 species